ACUUCUGUAUGCUGCACAUCAAUGAAAAGAUUGCUUAAAAUAAAACUAUAUGAGUGUGUGGCCCCAAUGGUUGUUUUAACAUUGGGGUUGUGGCCCCAAUGGUUGUUUAGCUUGAUAUAAAGACUAAGAGCCUUUAGAGGGAAAAUAAUGAGCAAACUCCGCCUCUGGGCCCUUCUUGGAUUCAUUGCCCAAAAACAAAGCCAACAGCCCUCCCUGGCUUUAGAAUAUUAGAUUUAAGAUUUGUCCUAAAACAUUUGAAACACUUGCUUUGUGUUGCACUUAUUAAACUCUCUCCCCAACUUCCCCCAGACCACUUUAUUUCCAAGCUGGUGUUUAAAAAUAUUAUUUAAUUAUUGGUAAGUAGGCUGGAAGGAAAGUCUUUAAUAAGUUAAUGAUAAAUAACAAUUGCCUAAUUAUGAUUCUGUGGAAGAACGAGGCUUUCUGGUGUGCUUGGAAUUUUAUCUACUCUGGGCACCCCUUAUUUUGAGCAGGCUGCUGGUGGAAUGCUAAGCCUGGAGUCUGACUAAAUGACCCUUCACGCUCAGUAUCGUGGGGGAAGAAUUUGUACAAGGCUGUUGAGUUCAUUUAAAGAAUGGUGAACAAUUUAAAUUUAAAUACUAAACCAUCUGUAAAUUAAAUGGUUUAAAUAAUAAGCAUUUAAAUAAUAGAUAUCCUUUAGAUGCCAUGGAAAAAGAUAAUUUCCUAUAACAAAUAUGAUUUCUAAGAUGUGCGGUCCUGACAUAAUUUUUGAUUGCCUGUAAGAAUCAAAAUUUUGUAGUUAAUAGUUGAAUAUCUUGGGGGAACUUCUUGCUCUUCAGCAAACAUUAAGGAGAACUGGCAAUUAAAUUUAAGUAAGUCUUUACCCCUCCAGGUUAGUGUUCCUUGUUUAUUCUGUUCUUGAGGUUGCUGCAGUGUGAGUGCUUCCAACAUUCUCUUAUCUUUGCUAAGGAGGAGGAGAGCCAGUGUUUGGAAUUCUCGAAGUACUUAUAGCAACAAGACUAUUUCUGUACAAGGUUCAUUAUCAAAUGCCAUUGUGACCUCCAACAUUAAUUUUACCUAAAGCUGAAAGAAAUUUUGGAGGGUGCUUGUAAUUUUAUGUCACAAUUUUAAGGGAGCCCAAAUCCUAAAGUUGAAUAUGGACUUAAUGCAGUUUAUUUUUGGUAACUAACUUCCUACCAAAAAAAAAAAAAAGAAAUGAGUGAAAGUUGGUGCUCAAUUCUGGUGGAGAAUACUAACAACAACAAGGGCAACAACCACAUCACCUUAAAAACAUAAAUCAAAAGAAAAUAAUAUAUAAAAACCACAGUGCUAUCUGGGUAGCUAAAAAAGAGAAAAUACCGAUGCCCUUAAUUUUAAUUCAAAGCUGGCAACAUUUUUAUGUCAAAUUAGUCAAGUAAUAAAAAAUAUGAUUUAAUGUACUACUUUAUCCAUACUAGUACUUAUGUUAAAAAAUUAGUUGGGAGAAAUUUGUGACAAUGAUGUGAGAUAUUAGAGAACAAAGGAGACAAACGAAUACAGGAACAUAUCAUGGACUGCAUAAAAUUUAUACAUUUUAAUUUAAAAAAUAUUUUCCUAUCUUCUCCUCAUUGUUAAAGUCCUAAAAUACUCAUCGAUAAUCUAGUGUAAGAGCUUUUGAAAUAAGAUUGCUUUCCUUCCUUCUAUCCUUUCUCUCCUUCAACAGUGAGUGAGGUAUAGUACCUGACUCAGGUUCUUCUCAAUUUGCAUACAAAAUAUCAAGGAUUUUAUUCAAAUGCAGAUUUUCAUUCAGUAGGUCUGGGGUUGAUCCUGCGUUGGUCCUGGGGUUGAUUAGAAUCUGUGCUUCUAAUAAGCUUCUAGGUGAUGCCAAUGCUGUUGCACCUUGUACCACAAUUUGAGUACCAAGGAUUGGAGAGAACAGCCAAUCCUCAAAGAGUUCAUAGUCUAGUUACAGCCAUUUCCAUUUUCCACUAUAGUUCAAAAAGUUUUAGCUUAUUUUUCAGAUUAUGUAUACAGCCCAGAUGGCAUCAAGGAGCUUCUUCCUCCUCUCAAGAUCUAGAUAAAAUUAGAUCAAAACACAUCCCUAAUUCUCUAGCCUCUGAAAACCCGAAGACUUUCCCACAAUUUAUGGAAUGAGCCCAGAGACGAAACUUGAACCUUUUCCAAUUUCCACAAAAAAUCCACCUGCACAAGAAUGUUGUCAUUCGUAGAGAACAUUUUGUAGGCAUUGUCCGUUUAUAGAGAUGGGAGAAGACAAAGGGAGAGUUGACCUAACACUAGUACAAACACUCUGAAAGGGACUACUGGCUCCUGCUUCCACAGGAUUAGUUCUGCGUCUGGAUCGUCUCACUACUUGAAGUGCCGUGUUCAUCCUGCACUGUGUGCUGUAAGUGUCACCCAUAAGCUCAUGCUUCAUGAGGGAGGGAGCUGGUAUUUGAGCUGUAUCUGAUCAGACACCUAUUUAGAACUCUCCUUUAAACAAACAAGCUAAAAACUUUCUUCUGUUUGGAUGGAUUCAGGAAGCUCCAUUGUUUAGUAUAAAUGUUUAAUAUGUAAUAAAAUUAAAUACAGGCACAUCUUGUUCUAUUGUGCUUCACUUUUUUUGCACUUGCAGAUACUGCGUUUUUUACAAAUUGAAAGUUUCUGGAAACCCUGUGUCAAGCAAUUUUCUAUCGGUACCAUUUUUCCAACAGCAUUUGCUCACUUUGUGUCUCUGUGUCCCAUUUUGAUACCUACUGAGUGCUAGGCACUGUGCUGGACUUUGGGGCUGCCAUGGUGAAUGAGACAACCCCUCCCUCAGGAGCCCACAGUCUCCCAAGGACGAUAAACAAGAACUGGGUACAGCGUGAUAAGCACUGUGAUAGGACAUCUCACAAGAGAGGCCACUAAUCCUGACUUGGGACGUGAAGGAAGCCUUCUGGAGAAACCAAUUAUGAGUUGGAAAAGACAGAUGCACACAGUGGGAAAAUGGGAAGCAUGUUUCAAAUUGAGGAAUUAGCAUGCUUGGGGAAGUGUAAGACAUCAAGAGGCAAUUGCAAAGUCCAGGCAAGAAGAAGUGAGGGUCUGGAUUAGUGCAAAGAAGGUGGCGAACAAGAGAAGGUGGUAAGAAGAGGAGAGAUUAGAUGUGGGAGGUGAUGGAAAGGAGGCAACUAAGAAGAAUCCCAUAUUUCUGUUUGGAGUAAUGCCACUAGUAAGGGUAGGGGAAUAUGUUUUUUAUGGGUGUGUGGGUGCACUUUGGGGAAGUACAAUCAUUUGUGGACAGGCUGCAUUUGCAGUCCUAUGGAACACCCAGAUGAAGUUAAGAAGGCAGUUGGAGGUAAUACAUAGCUCAGAAUCCUUUUUUCUAGAUAGAGAUAUGGGAGACAUUGGAUAAAGGAGGUAAUAAAGAUACAGACUGGAUGGAAUUAUCCAGGUGGAGUACAAAAUUUUCAAAAAUAGCAAUAUUUAAGGGUUAGGUAGAGUGAGCAGAACUUGUGUGGCUGGUGUGAACUUCAGAAAUUUAGGGUACAAAUAUGAUCACAUCUUUUGUUUAACAAAUUGACUGAGUCCAUAUUAGCAAGGUUUCAUAAUUUCCUUCCUCAAAAAUGUCCAUUAAUGGCAGGUACUGAUUCAGCCCAAGGAUUGGGAGCUUUGUUGGUCAGUCUUCUUCCAAGCGUCAGGUGGAGAGAGCACUGGAGCCUGAUUAAAUAAGUGAAAACUGAGAAGGAUCCACUGAAUUUCGACUUGGAGUUAUGGCUGGCUAGUCACAUGACUGCAGUGGUUUGAAGAGUGAAUGAAAGGUGGAGUAGAGGCGGUAAGUCUACACUCUUCUUACAAGAACCUUGGCUGUGAAACCAAAGUAGGAUAAAGUAGGGGUGGUGGUGAUGUAGGAGGUGGGCUUCCUGAGAACCAGCAAGGGUAGCUCCGAGGAAUUCCAGCCUCAUCUUAUCUGCUUCUUUAGGAAUUUUGAAUUAACUGAAGGCCUGGUGUAGUGCGAUCACCUA